CUCUUCCUUGUUCCCUCCUUUCUCAAAAGUCUCACGCCUCAAUCCUUUCAUUACUUCGAGCCUCUGUCUCUCUACUUCAAAAUUUCUCUAUUCUCCCCUCUUAUUUUUUCAUUUUUCCAUUUCAAAAUCACAAGUCCCCUCUUCUCUCAAUGCUCUGUGCGUCUCUUACAUCUCCAUUCUCCAGCCUCCAUCCUCAGAUGCAUCUCCCAUCUCACGUCUUCAAGCUCAAGAUUUGGCGCACCCAUAGAUUCAAUGCUUCUGGGCAGAUUCAUCUCCAGAUUUGACGCUCCACAUAUUCAUCUCCAGUCUUCCAUCUCAUCUCCCAUCUCUUCUUCCAUCAAUGGACUAACAUUUUUUAUUGUCUAAAUGCAAAACCUUGUCGGCUAUUGCUUCUGGGCAGAGCUAUUGAAACUGGGAUUGUUGAGAUGGAACAAAACUGAUGGGCUUGAACCGAUUUGAUUAGGUUCGAUUCGAUUCCUUUCUCGGUUCGGUUUCAGUUAGCAUUUUACAUGAGUUUGGUUUUUCGAUUUUUUAAAUUCUAACUCGAAUUGAAACCGGACCGACUGAAUGCUCUCCCUUGCGCGCGGCAGGCUGCAGAGGAUCUUUAUCACUUCCCAUAUUUUCUUGUGAUUUAGAUGCCCGUGAGUUUUCUAAUUUACGUUCAGACUUGCCUUUUCUUGUCAGCAGUUCAUGACAAAUGUAAUUUAUGCAUGUUACAUGCACCAACUGUCCACAUACCAUGAUAUAAAUAUACGACUUUGAUUGCAUUAGUUUAAA